rnacentral:rRNA from 1 species
AGAGUGUGGAUGAGUGGCGAACGGCUGAGUAAACGUGGGGAACCUGCCCAUAAGAGGGGGAUAACAUCCGGAAACGGGUGCUAAUNCCGCAUAGGUGAUCAUAGCGCAUGCUUAGAUCAUUAAAGAUGGCUUCGGCUAUCGCUUAUGGAUGGCCCCGCGGCGUAUUAGCUAGUUGGUGAGGUAAUGGCUCACCAAGGCUGUGAUACGUAUCCGACCUGAGAGGGUGAUCGGCCACACUGGAACUGAGACACGGUCCAGACUCCUACGGGAGGCAGCAGUAGGGAAUCUUCCACAAUGGGCGAAAGCCUGAUGGAGCAAUACCGCGUGAGUGAAGAAGGUCUUCGGAUCGUAAAGCUCUGUUGUUAGAGAAGAACAGAGGUGUAGUAACUGGCACCUCCUUGACGGUAUCUAACCAGAAAGUCACGGCUAACUACGUGCCAGCAGCCGCUGGUAAUACGUAGUGACAAGCGUUGUCCGGAUUAUUGGGCGUAAAGCGAGCGCAGCGGUCUUUUAGUCUGAUGUG